AGUGAACGCUGGCGGUAGGCCUAACACAUGCAAGUCGAACGGCAGCACAGUAAGAGCUUGCUCUUACGGGUGGCGAGUGGCGGACGGGUGAGGAAUACAUCGGAAUCUACUCUUUCGUGGGGGAUAACGUAGGGAAACUUACGCUAAUACCGCAUACGAUCUACGGGUGAAAGCAGGGGAUCUUCUGACCUUGCGCGAUUGAAUGAGCCGAUGUCGGAUUAGCUAGUUGGCGGGGUAAAGGCCCACCAAGGCGACGAUCCGUAGCUGGUCUGAGAGGAUGAUCAGCCACACUGGAACUGAGACGCGGUCCAGACUCCUACGGGAGGCAGCAGUGGGGAAUAUUGGACAAUGGGCGCGAGCCUGAUCCAGCCAUACCGCGUGGGUGAAGAAGACCUUCGGGUUGUAAAGCCCUUUUGUUGGGAAAGAAAAGCAGCAGGUUAAUACCCCGCUGUCCUGACGGUACCCAAAGAAUAAGCACCGGCUAACUUCGUG
rnacentral:rRNA from 1 species